CUGUUUGCUUUGGUAACACAAAUACCAAAAUUGGAUCAAUACAGAGAUUAGCAUGGCUCUUGCACAAAGAUAACAUGCAAGUUUGUGAAGCAUUCCAAGAAGGA
ensembl:snRNA U6 U6 spliceosomal RNA